UCUAGCUUGCUAGAUGUCCUUAGUGGCGAACGGGUGAGUAACGCGUGGGAACCUACCUUGGAGCGGGGAAUAACUAUUGGAAACGAUAGCUAAUACCGCAUACGCCCUCAGGGGGAAAGGCUUCGGCCACUCUAAGACGGUCCCGCGUCUGAUUAGCUUGUUGGUAAGGUAACGGCUUACCAAGGCGACGAUCAGUAGCUGGUCUGAGAGGAUGAUCAGCCACACUGGGACUGAGACACGGCCCAGACUCC
rnacentral:rRNA from 1 species